rnacentral:rRNA from 1 species
CAAUAGCGCAUAUUAAAGUUGUUGCAGUUAAAAAGCUCGUAGUUGGAUUUGUGGCGUACGGUGGGUUCCGGGCACUUGUUGUCUGAGUAACUUGCUGUUGCCAUCCUUGGGUGGAACCUGUGUGGCAUUAGGUUGUCGUGCAGGGGAUGCCCAUCAUUUACUGUGAAAAAAUUAGAGUGUUCAAAGCAGGCUUAUGCCGUUGAAUAUAUUAGCAUGGAAUAAUGAGAUAGGACUUUUUUGCUAUUUUGUUGGUUUGCGCAAAGAGGUAAUGAUUAAUAGGGACAGUUGGGGGUAUUCGUAUUCCAUUGUCAGAGGUGAAAUUCUUGGAUUUUUGGAAGACGAACUACUGCGAAAGCAUUUACCAAGGAUGCUUUCAUUAA